GAGCCCCGCCCCUCAGCACCAAGCCCGGACCCCAGUCUCUAGGCUCCGGCUCUCCUCGCUCGGAGCCCCGCCCUUCAGGCACGAGGACCGGCCGCUCAGCAAUGGACCCGCCCACCACGUUAGAGGCCCCGCCCCUGCCCCGCCCCGCCCGGCUCCCACUUUAAGAGGCAGAGUCUGGAGCGCCUCUCAGCUGGGACCUCUGGGUUCCUGGUGUCUGGUGGUGACACCGGGGUGUGGACUCGCAUGGCCAGCGUACCAGCUGUAAAGCUGGGCGUUGCCCCCCACGACACCAUGGAGAAGUACCAGAUUUUGCAGGAGCUGAGUCCUGGUGCCUUGGGGGUGAACGUGGUGGUGAAGGAAAUAAAAACCAAAGCCAAGUACGUGAUAAAACAGGUGCAGUGCAUUGACCACCAUCAUGCCAACCAGGCCUUGGAGGAGCUGAUGCCGCUGCUGAAGCUCCGGCACCCGCACAUCUCCAUGUACAAGGAGCUCUUCCAGAUGUGGGAUAGCGAGGCCACCUCCAUGUUCCUCUGCUUGGUGAUGGAGUACAGCCCGACAAGCUUCCAGGACAUCAUUGAAGCGAAGAGGAAGGAGAAGGCUGUCAUCGACUCCAAGUCGCUGCAGACCAUGCUGGUCCAGGUGUUGGAUGCGCUGGAGUACCUACACCACCUGGACAUCCUGCACAGGAACCUCAAGCCCUCCAACAUCACUGUCAGCCAGAACCACUGCAAGCUGCAGGACCUGAGCUGCCACGCACUGAUGACCCAUCAAGCCAAGUGGACUGUGCGCGCAGAGGAAGAUCCCUACAAGAAGUCCUGGAUGGCCCCCGAAGCCCUCAGCUUCUCCUUCAGCCAGAAGUCGGACAUCUGGUCCCUGGGCUGCAUCAUCCUUGACUUGGCCACCUGCUCCUUCCUGAGCGGGGCGGAAGCCAUGCACCUUCGGAAGUCGCUCCGCCAGCAGUCAGCUGGCCUGCAGGUCCUGUUGCAGACCAUGGUAGACAGACAGGUGCCCCUGGCGGACACCUUCUCCGACCUCCUACCUACUAUGCUGCAGGCCGACCCCUCGGACCGGGUAUUGAUCAAGGAUGUGAUCCGCAUCACCUUCGGGAAAGGCUCGCUUACAUCCUCCAGCGGUGCACUGCAUGGGUCGGCGAUACCCGAGGUGGUCACCAGCACGCUGCUGGAAGGCAACAUGGCCAGCAUUCUAGAGGUCAUGCAGAUGUUCUCCAGCCGCCCAGAGGUGCAGCUUACAGCCAUGAAGAAGCUCAUGUCCAUGCCUGAGGACCAGCUCGGGCUGCCGUGGCCCACUGAUCUGGUGGCAGUGGUGGUUGCUGUGAUGGAGCGACACGAGAGGAUCCUUGAGGUGCAGCUAUGCGCCUGCUCCCUGCUGCUGUACAUCCUGGGCCAAGCGCUAAAGCGGGACGUGGAUGCCAAGGCAUCCUGGAACAGCUCCUUCAGUGCCAUGCUGCUGAGUGCCAUGCGGAACCACCCCCACUCAACUCGGCUUAUCAUCAAGGCCUACAACCUGCUCACCAUCAUCGCCAGCCAAGAGUCGGCGUCCGAGGAGCUGCAGAAGGCCGGGCUGUGUGAGCUCAUGCUGCAGCAUCUGAGCAGCUUCUGUGGGGACCGGGACAUCUGCCUCAGUGGCCUAAGUCUUCUCUGGGCCCUCCUGGUGGAUGCUGUCAUCAUGAACAGAGACAUCUUCAAGAAGUUUCCAGCUCUGGUCAUCCAGGUUUUAGCCACCCACCCCAUAGAUGUGGACAUGGCUGAGGCCGGCUGUGCAGUGCUCUGGCUGCUGUCCUUGCUGGGCUGCAUCCAAGAGGAGCAGCUGGAAGAGGUGGUGGCACUGCUCCUGCGGAGCAUCCAGCUGGGCCAGGACAGGGUCCAGCUGGUGAACAACGCCUACCGGGGCCUGGCCAGCCUUGCCAAGGCAUCUGAGCUGGCGGCCUUCCGGGUGGUGGUGCUGGAGCAGGGCUGCAGCGGCCUCAGCCUGCUGCAGGAGACCUACCAGCUCUACAGGGACGACCCGGAGGUGGUGGAGAAUCUCUGCAUGCUGCUGGCCCACCUGGCCACCUACAGUGAGGGCCCUGGCGUUGCACCCACCCCUGGGGAGGUCUGCAGAGGAGAUCUUGCCGGAGCUGGAAUACAGCGGCAUCAGGACCCUGACCCAGGACAUCCAGGACCGCUUCCCCUCCAGCCUGGAGCUGAUUUCUUAUGCUAAAGAAGUGCUUGUGAGCCUGGAGACAGCUGUGUGCCCCAGCCCUGAGGAUGGGGAGCUCCUUAGUGCAGCCAGGGACCUCUCGGGGGACCUUCCUGCCCCACCCUGAGGUGCUACCCUUUCUGUACCAGGGACGCCUCCUUCCCCAGCCGUGCUGUGCACCUGUGUGACUGCUCCCUCUCCACAGCUCUGCUUUGGUGCCCUCACCGUGAGGCCUCUCAAUACCCCUCGCCAGUGCCACACCCAUCUGCUCCAGGGAGCUAAAUAAAGUUCUCUCCGUGAA